rnacentral:rRNA from 1 species
GCAGCAUGGGCUUCGGCCUGAUGGCGAGUGGCGAACGGGUGAGUAAUGCAUCGGAACGUGCCCAGUCGUGGGGGAUACCGUAGCGAAAGUUACGCUAAUACCGCAUACGACCUGAGGGAGAAAGCGGGGGACCGAAAGGCCUCGCGCGAUUGGAGCGGCCGAUGUCAGAUUAGCUAGUUGGUGGGGUAAAGGCCCACCAAGGCGACGAUCUGUAGCGGGUCUGAGAGGAUGAUCCGCCACACUGGGACUGAGACACGGCCCAGACUCCUACGGGAGGCAGCAGUGGGGAAUUUUGGACAAUGGGGGCAACCCUGAUCCAGCCAUGCCGCGUGCGGGAAGAAGGCCUUCGGGUUGUAAACCGCUUUCGGACAGAAAGAAAUCGCACGGGACAAUACCCUGUGUGGAUGACGGUACUGUAAGAAGAAGCACCGGCUAACUACGUGCCAGCAGCCGCGGUAAU